UUUGGACAAAGGUAAGCUUGUUAUAACAAUUCAAUUAAUAGGAAGCUAUGUAUAUAUUUAAAUAUUUGAUGCAGGUACGCACCAGCACUUUUUGGAAACAUGAAAUGUUAGAAAACGAUGAUGAGUGUUUCAAACAACAUUUCAGAAUGAGCCGCAGAACUUUCAAUAUACUCUGCAAUGAACUAAAGGAUCUGGAAAUGCAAGAUACAAACUUUAGGAAGUGUAUACCAUUACAAAAAAGAAUAGCCAUUGCAAUAUAUACACUGGGAUCAUCCGCUGAAUACAGGACAGUUUCAGCUAUCUUUGGGGUAGGAAUAUCCACAGUAUGCAUUAUUUACCACAGCUUCCGAAGAAGAAAAGAACUUCAACUACGCACUUUAGAAAUGUCGAAGAGUUGUUGAAAACUGUUUCGGACACCUUAAAUCAAGAUUUAGGACAAUCGGAAAGGGACUUGAUAAAAUCAACAUCCAAUGCUUGCAAAAUGCAAACAAUAAUUCGCAUAGAGAGCAACCGGAACAAUCAACACAGGUAGAUGAUGCAAGAAAUACACCUUCCAUUAUCCGAAAUGCCAUCAAAAUGCAAUUAGCCCGGAGCCUUGACGGAGUAGCCCGCGAUGAACUAGAUGCAGACUCGGCCGACGGAGUUUCUACAUCUUCUUCGUACUGGGAUCAGG